rnacentral:rRNA from 1 species
UACGGAGGGUGCGAGCGUUGUCCGGAAUCACUGGGCGUAAAGGGCGCGUAGGCGGCUGGUGAAGGCUUGUGUGAAAGUCCGGGGCUCAACCCCGGAUCGGCACGGGCGACUCGCUGGCUGGAGCCCACUAGAGGCGGGUGGAAUUCCGGGUGAGCGGUGGAAUGCGUAGAUAUCUGCAGGAACACCAGUGGCGAAGGCGGGCUCACUGGCCCCGAUACUGACGUGAGGCACGAAAAGCGUGGGGGAGCAAACAGG